CCAACUUAAACCCAAUAAUCCUUGAUUACGAUGUCGGGGAUGCUGAACAAGAAGACGAAGUCCGAUGUAAUUUAUCGUCCUCGGACGAAGAUGAAGUAGAAGAUGAAGAUGUAUAAAUGUGUGAAUAUAUGUAUAAUUAUUUGAAUAAAU
rnacentral:sRNA from 1 species